UUUCCCCCCUAAAACCCCUAAAAUCCCAACUUUCCCCCCUCCUAAACGUCUUUUUCUUGUUCCUUACUAAUGCAACAUGUUCUGCUUUUUAUAUGAUUAAUUUUUUCGAAAACACUGUCAUGGCUAUGCAAACCGGAGUAGGUUUGUCGAAGAUCUUGAUCUUAGCCGGCGCCAAUACCGUUCCAACUGAAUUUCUUACUUCAAUUCUUCUUUUUUAUUUUUCUUACUGUUUUAAUUUUGACUUCAACUUGUUAAUUUCGUUUCCAGGUUAUACGGGUACUGUCCUCCUGAAAAACGGUAAAUUAUCGGACAUAUUAGGCGAAUUGCAGUCACUAGUGAAGGGACUCGAAAAGUCGGGGGAGCAAGCUGAUGAUUCAGAUGCACUUCUAGCUUAGGUGCGUCGUUUGUCAACGGAGAGCAGGCAACUGGCAUCAGCACGGCAGAUAACUGUUCUGAAUGGGGAUUCUAGCGGUAUUUUCUUAAUUAUAUUUGCUUAAAUAGUAGUUCUUUUAGGCACAUAUAUGUGAAACUAGUUUAUAAUUGCAUUAACGGGAUUAGAUGAACCAUUUUCUAAGUGGAUUUGCUUUGGUUGUAUUAGUAAUACAGAGACCUCGCAGGUAAUUUAACCAAAUAAUUUCAUAAUUUCAUAGUCUAGGGCCACCAUCGGCGUAGCUCUUUAGAUUUCAUAGUUCAUUUAGCUAAGCAAACCUUUCUAUUAUAAAAAGCAAAUUGAAAUUGUUGAAAUCUAACUUUUCACUGGUGGUGACAUACCCAAUCACCCAUAAUGUAGCACUAUGUGUAACACCCCUUACCCGUAGUCAACAUCGAAAUAGGGUACGAGGCAUUACCAGAACCCAUACGCUUGUAAACGUAUUUAACCGAGUUAUAAAUUUCAUCUAAAUUAAAAUUUUCAAAAUUAUUAACAUGCUUUUUAUAAUUUUUCAUAAUAUACCUUCAAAAAAAUUAUGAUCAUAAUAAUUAGGGCUUACGAAACCCGAUAC